CCAGACUCCUACGGGAGGCAGCAGUGGGGAAUAUUGGGCAAUGGGCGCAAGCCUGACCCAGCAACGCCGCGUGAAGGAAGAAGGCUUUCGGGUUGUAAACUUCUUUUAAGAGGGAAGAGUAGAAGACGGUACCUCUUGAAUAAGCCACGGCUAACUACGUGCCAGCAGCCGCGGUAAUACGUAGGUGGCAAGCGUUGUCCGGAUUUACUGGGUGUAAAGGGGGCGCAGACGGCAGCGCAAGCCAGGAGUGAAAGCCCGGGGCUCAACCCCGGGACUGCAUUUGGAACUGUUAAGCUGGAGUGUCGGAGAGGCAGGCGGAAUUCCUAGUGUAGCGGUGAAAUGCGUAGAUAUUAGGAAGAACACCAGUGGCGAAGGCGGCUUGCUGGACAGUAACUGACGUUGAGGCUCGAAAGCGUGGGGAGCAAACAGGAUUAGAUACCCUCGUAC
rnacentral:rRNA from 1 species